rnacentral:lncRNA from 1 species
UGCUUCACGGCCAGUUGCACAUGGAAUCCGGGGGGGAUAAUCCCCCCUCCAUCCCAACCACCCACCCCAAACCUUCCCGGGGAAAACUGGGAGUCGCUAUUUACACACACACGGAAGCUGAGGAGGGGAAAUUCCAGGGAUAAAACACCGGGAUGGGAGGGGAGGAGCCGGGAAAAGCAACUCCAGAGGGAAUUCUGCAUCCCAAUCCAGGGGGCAGGGCUGGGAUUCUGCAUCCCGAUCCCACCCCCAUCCAGGGGUUUGUCCCUGGACAUCGAACAGGGCCAAGAGGGGACCAAAAUUAACGGGAAAAUCCGCUUUAAACCGGGAAUUCUGCAUCCCAAGGCAGGGGGCAGGGGUGGGAUUCUGCAUCCCGAUCCCACCCCAGUCCGGGGGGCAGGUCCUGGGAGAAGAAACUCCCUGGAGAUGCAGAUCCUGGGAAUUUUUGUGGGAAAAGAAACCCCUGGAGAUGCAGAUCCCGGGAAUUUUUGUGGGAAGAGGAACUCCUGGAGAUGCAGGACCUGGCUGGGAGAUCCUUGGGACCUUGUGUGGGAAGGGAAAUCUCUGGAGCUGCAGGUCCUGGGGAUGUUUUUUGGGAAGGAAAAACCCCUGGAGAUGCAGGUCCUGGGGAGUUUAUGUAGGAAAAGAAACCCCCAGAGCUGCAGAUCCUGGGAAUUUUGUGUGGGAAGGAAAAACCCCUGGAGCUGCAGGUCCUGGGAUUUGGGGCCGGAUUCCCGGGAUUUGGGGCUGAAUUCCCGGGCUCUGGGGCUGAAUUCCCGGGAUUUGGGGCUGAAUUCCCGGGCUCUGGGGCCGGGGGGGUGCUCAGAAGUCGCUCAGGAUGCUGAUGUCGGCGAACUCGGCGCGGUAGCGGCGCGAGUAGAGGCUGAGCAGGAGGGCCCAUUUCAGGGCCAUGAAGCUCCACACGGCGGACAGGUAAAAACUGCGGGGGUCACUCAGCGCUGCAGGGGGGGGAAAACACAGGCAGGGCCUCAAAAUCCGGCUUUUCUCUCAGUUCUGGCUCCUCAGAGCCUUAAAAUCCCAUUUAUCCCUCGUCCCCGGCUCCUCAGAGCCUUAAAAUGCCAUUUUUCCUGCAGUUUC